rnacentral:lncRNA from 1 species
GGACACCACAGACAGUUGUUUCAGACAAUUCAGUGGAGGGGCCAGUUUCCACCAUCGUCUGUGAGUACGCUCUGCUUUUAUUCCUAUUCUAAAAUUCUUGUGUUAUGAGAAAGAGACAGUUUUCUGUGUUUAAGAAAACAGUAUUGUUAAAAGUGUAACACAAAGGAUGUGAUCCAGCCCAGAACUAGGUUUAGCCCUAUAUUUAUAAGCUCUACUGCUUUAAUUGCAAAUGUGUAAAGGCAAGAGUACUUCCACUUGAGGGAAGAUGUAUAUCUUUUUCUUUCCUCACUGGAAAAAUGUUUUCUGGUAAAGCAAAAUUCAUUUUUAUUAUAGUAAUGGUUUCUAAAAAUUAAAAUAUAAACAAAAAGAUUGAAAAGAGGUGGAAUCUUCUGCUAACCAGAAGUAUUUUUAUCUAUUCACAGUCAUUCCUACUCCAUCCAUAACCCUACAAAGACUAUGUAUCUCUUAGUUAAUUAAUCAAUUAGUCAUUUAAUUCAAUAUUUACUGAGCACCUACUAUGUGCCAGCUCUGCUUUUAUGCCUGGGGAUUCUGUGGUAGAACAAACAGACAAAAAAAAAAUUCAUGCCUCAUGGAACAUGCAUUCUAGUAAGGAAAUAAGAUUAAAUAAGUACAUAAAUAUGUUACAUAGCUUAAUGGUGCUAAGAAGAAUAAACAUGAAAAGUUGUAUGAAAUGUUUAGAGAUGUUGAGAUUUUAUUUUGAAUGGUCAAGAAGGUCUUCAAAGAGAAAGUGUCUUUUGAAUAAAGAUCCAAAAGAGAUAGAAAAGCUGGCCAUGCCAACACGGGAAUAAAGUGUGUACUUGCACCUGGCAGAGGGGAAAUCCAAAUAUAGCAGCAGUUUUGUGUGUUUAGGGACAGCAUCUGGGCCUUGACAGGAGCUGGAGAAGGAGGAAGGGAAGGGAAGUAGAAGAGAGUAGAUGAAAUGAGAACACUAGUAGGAGCUGAGCUAUGUCCCCCAGAACUUUGUAGGCCAUUGUAAGGCAGGGCUUUUCCUUGGAGAAAAAUUGGGGCCAUUGAAGAGUAUUGAGCCGAAGAACAGACAGGAUCUGACUGUACAGGAUUGCUCUUGAUGCUGCUCGGAAAAGGAUUUUAAGGUAACAAGGUCAGAGGCAAUGAAGCCACUGCAGAGGCUACUGCAGAAAUUGAGGCAAGGAAUGAUAAAGAGCAGAAGUGGGGAAGGGGGUUGAAUUCUGGGAGUGUUUAAAGGUAGAGGCAAUAGGAUUUGCUGAGGUCUAAACUUGGGCUGUGAAAGAGAGAGGAAAGCCAAGAAUAACCCUGUAUGAUUCAAAGAAUAGAACUGAAUGAAUUGAGGUGAGAAAGACUGUGGGAUGACCUAUUUUUGAAAGAAUAUGAAUAGCCCGGUUUGGCCAGGUCAGUUUUGAGAUGAAACAUGUGGGUAUGUCAAGCAGGCAACUGGAUAAUUGGAAACGGAGCUUAAGGCAAGGUGCAGGCUGGUUGUACAAAUAUAGAAGUCUUCAGCAUGAAGUUGGAUCCUAAUUCAGGGCUGAGUUAGGUCGCCUAAGGAGUGUUACUGGAAAAGAGUCCACAGUCUGAGCCCCAUAAGGGCUAGGGAGAGGAGAAAGAAUCAGUUUAAAAGACUGACAAGGAACAACUGGAAAGGUAGGAGAAAAAGCAGCCAGCAUGAUGCUCUGAAAGCCCACAAGAAGGUUGUCCAAGGAUAUAAGAGUACCUCUUAGCAUUCUUGCAUUACACAUAACGUUUCACCCAUUUGUUUCCUGACUAGUGCUGAGCCUUCCCCUUCAGCUAGAAAAAUGGCAGUGUUCAAGAAGUUAAAACUUCUUCUCUGGAAGAAUUUCAUCUUAAAGGUAGGUAUAGUUAUUCAUGGUGGGAUGUAGGUUCUUGGGAGUGACUGAAUGUUUAUGUGAAAUUGGUUGCUAAUAAUGGGUUAAAGAAACAGUAAGAACUUUGCUUGUAAAGGGGCACUAUUCUGCAAAUAAGUCAUGUUUCCAUGGUAAUUCUGUUAACCCUCAUUAUGAAAGAUGAUAUCAUUGUCUGAUUUCCAACCAGUGGUGUUAUAGAAAAGUUAAUAGAGGGGCUGGGGCUCAGUGAUGGAGCACUUGCCUAGCAUGUGCAAGGCACUGAGUUCGAUCCUCAGCACCACAUAAA